rnacentral:sRNA from 16 species
UAUAUUAUAAUAUUAGGGGAUGAUAAUCAAAUUGAC